rnacentral:tRNA from 1 species
GGGGAUGUAGCUCAGUGGUAGAGUGCUUUCCCAGCAUGUGCAGUGGCCUAGGUUUGAUCCCCAGUACUUCA